GACGAACGCUGGCGGCGUGCCUAAUACAUGCAAGUCGAACGAGUGGCGGACGGGUGAGUAACACGUGGGAACCUACCCAUCAGAGGGGGAUAACUACUGGAAACGGUAGCUAAUACCGCAUACCAUCAGAUGUGCCCAGAUGGGAUUAGCUAGUAGGUGGGGUAAUGGCUCACCUAGGCGACGAUCCCUAGCUGGUCUGAGAGUAUGAACAGCCAAACUGGAAAUGAGACACGGUCCAGACUCCGACGGGAGGCAGAAGGGGGGAAGAGUGCACAAUGGGCGCAAGCCUGAUGCAGCCAUGCCGCGUGUAUGAAGAAGGCCUUCGGGUUGUAAAGUACUUUCAGCGAGGAGGCGUUACUCGCAGAAGAAGCACCGGCUAACUCCGUGCCAGCCGCCGCGGUAAUUC
rnacentral:rRNA from 1 species